GUCAUGAAAAGAGCAGGUGUUCCUAAUUUUUUAUAUUUUUUAUUUUUUUCCACCUUUAUUUAACCAGGUAGGCUAGUUGAGAACAAGUUCUCAUUUGCAACUGCGACCUGGCCAAGAUAAAGCAUAGCAGUGUGAGCAUACAACAAAGAGUUACACAUGGAGUAAACAAUUAACAAGUCAAUAACACAGUAGAAAACGAAGGGGGGGUCUAUAUACAAUGUGUGCAAAAGGCAUGAGGAGGUAGGCAAAUAAUUACAAUUUUGCAGAUUAACACUGGAGUGAUAAAAGAUCAGAUGGUCAUGUACAGGUAGAGAUAUUGGUGUGCAGAAGAGCAGAAAAGUAAAUAAAUAAAAACAGUACGGGGAUGAGGUAGGUGAAAAGGGUGGGCUAUUUACCAAUAGACUGAUGUACUAAUGUUUAUAUACUCAGUGUAUGUCAACAUGGUGGCAUGAUGAUAAGAUAUUGGAGUUUUUCAUGUUUUUCAGGAACCAGAGACAGUAUCCAUAGAAGCCAAUGAGUGGAAGAGAGCAGCCUCACAUGAUCAUUAGCACCACUUCUGGACUACCCUGCCUGCCUGCCAGAGUAUUAUGAACUAGAAAUCUGCUGGAUCCUCUAAGGAUGUGACCCGCACUUCU
rnacentral:lncRNA from 1 species